rnacentral:rRNA from 1 species
UACACUCCUGCGGGAGGCAGCAGUGGGGAAUAUUGGACAAUGGGCGCAAGCCUGAUCCAGCCAUGCCGCGUGAGUGAUGAAGGCCCUAGGGUUGUAAAGCUCUUUUGUGCGGGAAGAUAAUGACGGUACCGCAAGAAUAAGCCCCGGCUAACUUCGUGCCAGCAGCCGCGGUAAUACGAAGGGGGCUAGCGUUGCUCGGAAUCACUGGGCGUAAAGGGUGCGUAGGCGGGUCUUUAAGUCAGGGGUGAAAUCCUGGAGCUCAACUCCAGAACUGCCUUUGAUACUGAAGAUCUUGAGUUCGGGAGAGGUGAGUGGAACUGCGAGUGUAGAGGUGAAAUUCGUAGAUAUUCGCAAGAACACCAGUGGCGAAGGCGGCUCACUGGCCCGAUACUGACGCUGAGGCACGAAAGCGUGGGGAGCAAACAGGAUUAGAAACCCGAGUAGUCCCAUGAU